rnacentral:lncRNA from 1 species
CAAAGCAGCAAGGAAGGUCCAGCUGCGACGAGCUGUCUAGGGCAAGUGUCGUCUAACGCUGCACAGGAUGUUGACCCGUUGCCUGCUGCUGUGCGCCCUGGUGGCCACCGUCGCACCGGCCCCACAGAGUCUGCUGAGUCCUGGCACGACUCCGCUCAGUCUGCUGGCGGGCUCCAGCCUGACCCAGGUCCCCAACUUCCCCGGGUUCCAGCCGUUCCCCAAGGUGCCCGUCAGCGCGCCGCGCCCGGCGCCCUGGGCCGACGUGCCCGGCCUGCCACAGAGCCUGGAGCGGCAGGCGGGCAACGCUGCGCGAGGAGCCGUCAACAGCGCAUAUGGCAUUGGUGGAGCACCGGGGUCGGUCGGCCUCAGGGUGUACCAGUCGCCUAACGAUCGCUUCAAAGCAGGGCUCGGCUUCGCUAGCGACCUCAAGGGGGGAAAUGCGGCAGGCUUCGCACUCCGCUAUGAUUUUAAGUAGGCCCGUGCGUGGAAAUUGAAUGUAAUAACGCCCCGGCUCUGUAUCGGAAUGUCUCUCUAAUGACGCAAGCCUUCUCCGUGCAGCCGUUGGCAACCGCAGUGCCGGGUACGCGUGUUGUCGCUGAAAGCAUUGUGUGGCAAGAGCACGCGUCAUUAGCCGGGUUGCGAUAACUGUCAAUUUGGUGCCAAUCGUCCCAGCUGUUCACUUCCUGAGCAGACGUCAUAAGUGUUAUCAUGUGCAAAAGUGCGCCCAUAUCUCAAUCUGAGGGUGUGUUGUCUGUGGCACAGUGAGCAGGUGUCUCCGAGCUCAGCUAAAUGUAUUUGCCCUUCUCUCACAAAAUGCCUGUUUGCAAGUUGCCUGUUGAUUGUUUUGUGCGAUUCGGCAAUCGUAAGACACUAUUGCGAACUACC